UUACUCACCUUUCCUUGUCAUUUCCGCCUAUAUACCGCCGUCGUCAGCUUACUCUGUGAAGAGCCUGUAGUAAGCACAACUGGUAAAGCCUAAAACGCCAGGUCGAGGUGUAGCGAAUGGAAAGGGAAGAAAUGGGCUACAUUCAAUAUUUAAUAAUGAACACGAAUGAUAUCAUGAAAGAGAUGUCUGAAGGAGGAUUUAGCAGUAAGUAGAGAAUAGAGCGCUCUACUGAAACCGGCCCUGAAGCGCGUACACACCGCCCGUCACUCUCCCCGAGCUAACCAAAACCAUUACUAAUACACAAAAACUGCAAAGGGGAGGCAAGUCGUAACAUGGUAAGUGUACCGGAAGGUGCGCUUGGAAAAAC
rnacentral:rRNA from 1 species